UGUUCAAUUAGAGUCUACGUAAUGACGCAGUUUUACGUUAUUAUGUAAUGACGUCAUCACGCAAUGACAUCACAACGUCUAUAAGCAACAAAUCAACUUCCUCUGGAAAUUAGUUGGCAACACUGGGCGGAAUGCGGCGAAAGCAUCUACCGAUGCCGACGACUCGAAUGUGCUGCUCUGAAAUGCAGGACAGAUGCCAGGGAAGUCCAGCAGACUGACACGUGAGUGCAUUGACUUACCACCAGGAUCAUUAGAUGUGUUC